CUGGAGGACUAAGGAGUACAAGUGUUAUCAAACACCAGGAGGAAGGUCCUGUGUUCAUGUGCUUGUAGAAUACAUCUCUGGCAUGUCUGGGGGGCAUUGCUGAGUCUCCAGGCAAGGUUGAGCAAUUCCCCUGGUGUUGCCUCAUGCAGGGAAUAUCAAACUAAUUAAUAAUGAUGGAGCACUUAAAAGAAAGUGUCACAGACAUUAUUUUAAAACAUGUACCUACCAGAAUUUUGUUCACAGAUGAUGAUGAAAUUAUCAGACCGAUUCACCGCUCAUGCUGGCAUAAAUCAAGAAUGAUACAGUUCAAGUCAAUAGACUUAUACCUGCGUAAGACCAUUUUAAGUGGUAUAUUGUUAGUUGUAUUGGAUGACUGUUAGUGUAACAUACCUGGAGGUUUUA